rnacentral:rRNA from 1 species
CACGUGGGGAACCUGCCCCAUAGUCUGGGAUACCACUUGGAAACAGGUGCUAAUACCGGAUAAGAAAGCGGAUCGCAUGAUCAGCUUUUAAAAGGCGGCGUAAGCUGUCGCUAUGGGAUGGCCCCGCGGUGCAUUAGCUAGUUGGUAAGGUAAAGGCUUACCAAGGCGAUGAUGCAUAGCCGAGUUGAGAGACUGAUAGGCCACAUUGGGACUGAGACACGGCCCAAACUCCUACGGGAGGCAGCAGCC